UACGUAGGCAGCAAGCGUCGUUCGGAGUUACUGGGCGUAAAGGGUGCGUAGGCGGUCCUAUAAGUAUGGUGUGAAAUCUCCCGGCUUAACUGGGAGGGUGCGCUAUAGACUGUGGGACUAGAGUGUGGGAGAGGAAAGUGGAAUUCCUGGUGCAGCGGUGAAAUGCGUAGAUAUCAGGAGGAACACCGGUGGUGUAAACGGCUUUCUGGACCAUAACUGACGCUGAGGCACGAAAGCGUGGGUAGCAAACAGG
rnacentral:rRNA from 1 species